rnacentral:lncRNA from 1 species
CCACUGCUGGAGCCCCCAGAGCCACUGUCUGCAGAGCUGGAGCCCCCUGACCUGGUAUCCCCAAACACGUGCCCCUGGAUGUCCUGGUGUCCCCAUUUCUGGAGCCCCUGGAUGUCCCGGUGUCCCCAUUGCUGGAGCCCCUGGAUGUCCCGGUGUCCCCAUUUCUGGAGCCCCUGGAUGUCCCGGUGUCCCCAGAGCCCCCAGACCCAGGGUCCCCAUUUCUGGAGCCUCUGGAUGUCCUGGUGUCCCCAGAGCCCCCAGACCCGGUGUCCCCAGAGCCGGUGUCCCCACUGCUGGAGCCCCCAGAGCCACUGUCCCCAGAGCUGGAGCCCCCAGACCCAGUGUCCCCAGAGCUGGAGCCCCUGGAUGUCCCGGUGUCCCCAAAUCCCUGGAGCCCCUGGAUGUCCCAGUGUCCCCAGAGCCCUGACCCACCUUUGCUGCCGGUGAUGACGGGCACGUUGCGGGGCCGCGAGCGGCAGUCGAAGAUGAUGGGUUUCUGCACCCAGGGGAUCAGGAAAUGGGUGCCCUCGCCCACCACCACGUCCUGCACCCCCCGGAAGCGGUCGAAGAUCACAGCUCUGUGCCCUGCGUCCACUGUGGGGGGGAAAGAAACAGCACUCAGGGCUGCUGUGCUGCUGCCACGGGGGUUGGGGACUUAAUUAACAGCACGGCUUAAUUAACAACACGGUUUGGACAACAAACUGCAGGUGCCCUCCAGUCUGCUCCUCACAAGCAGCUCCGUGGCUUUUAGACGGAGAACACCACAGUCUGUUUGUACUGGGCAGUAAAAGCACUGGGAGGUCAGGGUUUGGACAGAAGCACAAAACGAAGCGCUCAGGGCUGUCCCACUCACCGUUGUAAAGAGCGGAGUUGACGACUCCCCCCGCCACAGCCAAGCCCAGGCCGAGCUUCCCAAUGCUCUCGAACACCUUGGCAGCCAUCUCAGCGCUGCAGCCCCCGCUCCGGAGCCCUCCUGCAAACCCAGACAACGCUCAAACCUCACCGGAAAGGCUGCGACCCCUGCCCAGAGCCCCAGGCCACAAAACCGCAC